rnacentral:rRNA from 1 species
GACGAACGCUGGCGGCGUGCCUAAUACAUGCAAGUCGAACGGUCCGGCACUCAACCGACCCUCAGUCUAACUGUAGGGGAAGUUGAGUGCCGGGUAGUGGCGGACGGGUGAGUAACGCGUGGGCAACCAACCCUGUACAGUGGGAUAACACCGGGAAACCGGUGCUAAUACCGCAUGACACCUAUAUGGUGCAUACCGUAUAGGUUAAAGGAUUUAACCGGUACAGGACGGGCCCGCGUCCCAUUAGCUAGUUGGUGAGGUAACGGCCCACCAAGGCGACGAUGGGUAGCCGACCUGAGAGGGUGACCGGCCACACUGGGACUGAGACACGGCCCAGACUCCUACGGGAGGCAGCAGUGGGGAAUAUUGCGCAAUGGGGGGAACCCUGACGCAGCGACGCCGCGUGAGCGACGAAGGCCUUCGGGUCGUAAAGCUCUGUUCUUGGGGACGAAGGAAAUGACGGUACCCAAGGAGAAAGCCCCGGCUAACUACGUG